rnacentral:rRNA from 1 species
GCAGUCGAGCGGAUGAGUGAGAGCUUGCUCCAUGAUUCAGCGGCGGACGGGUGAGUAAUGCCUAGGAAUCUGCCUGGUAGUGGGGGACAACGUUUCGAAAGGAACGCUAAUACCGCAUACGUCCUACGGGAGAAAGCAGGGGACCUUCGGGCCUUGCGCUAUCAGAUGAGCCUAGGUCGGAUUAGCUAGUUGGUGGGGUAAAGGCCUACCAAGGCGACGAUCCGUAACUGGUCUGAGAGGAUGAUCAGUCACACUGGAACUGAGACACGGUCCAGACUCCUACGGGAGGCAGCAGUGGGGAAUAUUGGACAAUGGGCGAAAGCCUGAUCCAGCCAUGCCGCGUGUGUGAAGAAGGUCUUCGGAUUGUAAAGCACUUUAAGUUGGGAGGAAGGGCAGUAAGCUAAUACCUUGCUGUUUUGACGUUACCAACAGAAUAAGCACCGGCUAACUUCGUGCCAGCAGCCGCGGUAAUACGAAGGGUGCAAGCGUUAAUCGGAAUUACUGGGCGUAAAGCGCGCGUAGGUGGUUUGGUAAGAUGGAUGUGAAAUCCCCGGGCUCAACCUGGGAACUGCAUCCAUAACUGCCUGACUAGAGUACGGUAGAGGGUGGUGGAAUUUCCUGUGUAGCGGUGAAAUGCGUAGAUAUAGGAAGGAACACCAGUGGCGAAGGCGACCACCUGGACUGAUACUGACACUGAGGUG